rnacentral:rRNA from 1 species
UACGUAGGGGGCAAGCGUUGUCCGGAUUUAUUGGGCGUAAAGAGCGUGUAGGCGGCCAGGUAGGUCCGUUGUGAAAACUCGAGGCUCAACCUCGAGACGCCGAUGGAAACCAUCUGGCUAGAGUCCGGAGGAGGAGAGUGGAAUUCCCGGUGUAGCGGUGAAAUGCGCAGAUAUCGGGAAGAACACCCGUGGCUAAGGCGGCUCUCUAGUACGGUACUGACGCUGAGACGCGAAAGCGUGGGGAGCGAACAGG